GGUAUGGUGCCGGAUAAACGGAUAACUCUGAUGACGUUAAUUAAGGAGCUCAACUCCCCAUACCU
rnacentral:tRNA from 1 species